rnacentral:rRNA from 1 species
CACAUGCAAGUCGAACGAUGAUGCCCAGCUUGCUGGGUGGAUUAGUGGCGAACGGGUGAGUAACACGUGAGUAACCUGCCCCUGACUCUGGGAUAAGCGUUGGAAACGACGUCUAAUACUGGAUAUGACUGCCGGCCGCAUGGUCUGGUGGUGGAAAGAUUUUUUGGUUGGGGAUGGACUCGCGGCCUAUCAGCUUGUUGGUGAGGUAAUGGCUCACCAAGGCGACGACGGGUAGCCGGCCUGAGAGGGUGACCGGCCACACUGGGACUGAGACACGGCCCAGACUCCUACGGGAGGCAGCAGUGGGGAAUAUUGCACAAUGGGCGAAAGCCUGAUGCAGCAACGCCGCGUGAGGGAUGACGGCCUUCGGGUUGUAAACCUCUUUUAGUAGGGAAGAAGCGUAAGUGACGGUACCUGCAGAAAAAGCACCGGCUAACUACGUGCCAGCAGCCGCGGUAAUACGUAGGGUGCAAGCGUUGUCCGGAUAUUAUUGGGCGUAAAGAGCUCGUAGGCGGUUUGUCGCGUCUGCUGUGAAAUCCCGAGGCUCAACCUCGGGCUUGCAGUGGGUACGGGCAGACUAGAGUGCGGUAGGGGAGAUUGGAAUUCCUGGUGUAGCGGUGGAAUGCGCAGAUAUCAGGAGGAACACCGAUGGCGAAGGCAGAUCUCUGGGCCGUAACUGACGCUGAGGAGCGAAAGCGUGGGGAGCGAACAGGAUUAGAUACCCUGGUAGUCCACGCCGUAAACGUUGGGCGCUAGAUGUAGGGACCUUUCCACGGUUUCUGUGUCGUAGCUAACGCAUUAAGCGCCCCGCCUGGGGAGUACGGCCGCAAGGCUAAAACUCAAAGGAAUUGACGGGGGCCCGCACAAGCGGCGGAGCAUGCGGAUUAAUUCGAUGCAACGCGAAGAACCUUACCAAGGCUUGACAUACACCGGAAACGGCCAGAGAUGGUUGCCCCCUUGUGGUCGGUGUACAGGUGGUGCAUGGUUGUCGUCAGCUCGUGUCGUGAGAUGUUGGGUUAAGUCCCGCAACGAGCGCAACCCUCGUUCUAUGUUGCCAGCGCGUUAUGGCGGGGACUCAUAGGAGACUGCCGGGGUCAACUCGGAGGAAGGUGGGGAUGACGUCAAAUCAUCAUGCCCCUUAUGUCUUGGGCUUCACGCAUGCUACAAUGGCCGGUACAAAGGGCUGCGAUACCGUAAGGUGGAGCGAAUCCCAAAAAGCCGGUCUCAGUUCGGAUUGAGGUCUGCAACUCGACCUCAUGAAAGUCGGAGUCGCUAGUAAUCGCAGAUCAGCAACGCUGCGGGUGAAUACGUUCCCGGGCCUUGUACACACCGCCCGUCAAGUCAUGAAAGUCGGUAACACCCGAAGCCGGUGGCCUAACCCUUGUGGAAAGAGCCGUCGAAGUGGGAUCGUGAUAGAUAUA